UACGUAGGGUGCGAGCGUUAAUCGGAAUUACUGGGCGUAAAGCGUGCGCAGGCGGCUUUGUAAGUUAGAGGUGAAAGCCCGGAGCUCAACUUCGGAAUUGCCUUUAAGACUGCAUCGCUUGAAUCAUGGAGAGGUCAGUGGAAUUCCGAGUGUAGAGGUGAAAUGCGUAGAGAUUUGGAGGAAUACCAGUGGCGAAGGCGGCCCCCUGGCACAACACUGACGCUCAGGUGCGAAAGCGUGGGGAGCAAACAGG
rnacentral:rRNA from 1 species